rnacentral:rRNA from 1 species
AUAGCUGGUUGCAUUAACAAAAAGUUAGUGUAAGAUCGACUCUGUCGAAUAAAAUUCUAGAUAGAAUUAUGAUAAUGACAUUAUCUAUCUAUGUGUCUUGACCAAAUUACGUGCCAGCAGUCGCGGUAAUACGUAAAAGACUAGUGUUAUUCAUCUUUAAUAGGUUUAAAGGGUACUUAGACGGUAAAUAAAGCCCGAAUAGGGAACUAAUAUACUAGAGUUUGAUGUAAGGAAGCAUGAAAGUACUGUUGGUGUAGAGAUAAAAUUCUAUCAUACCAAAUAUGGCACAGGUUUAGGCGAAAGCAUCUUCUUAUGUAAUAACUGACGUUGAAGGACGAAGGCUUUGUGUCUCGAACAGGAUUAGAUACCCCAGUAGUCUAAGCAGACAAUGAUGAAUGUCAUAGAUUAGAUUUAAUUAAAUUUAUUCUAUAAAUGAAAGUGUAAGCAUUCCACCUCAAGAGUAAUUUGGCAACAUUGGAACUGAAAUCAUUAGACCGUUUCUGAAACCAGUAGUGAAGUAUGUUGUUUAAUUAGAAGAUACGCAAAAAACCUUACCACAAUUUGAAUUAGUAAUAUGUUUUCACAAGCGUUGCACGGCUGUCUACAGUUAAUGUCGUGAGAUUUUGGUUAGUUCCAUUAAAUUAACGCAAACCCUUACUUUAUUU